rnacentral:rRNA from 1 species
ACACGUAGGGGGCAAGCGUUGUCCGGAAUUACUGGGCGUAAAGCGUACGUAGGCGGUUCGUUAAGUUAGAUGUGAAAGCCCCGGGCUUAACCUGGGAACUGCAUUUAAAACUGGCGAACUAGAGUUGAGUAGAGGGGAGUGGAAUUUCAGGUGUAGCGGUGAAAUGCGUAGAGAUCUGAAGGAACACCAGUGGCGAAGGCGGCUCCCUGGACUCAAACUGACGCUGAGGUACGAAAGCGUGGGUAGCAAACGGGAUUAGAAACCCUAGUAGUCC